rnacentral:lncRNA from 1 species
GAGGUUGAGAUUUGAUGGAUGAGAAGGAGCGAGCUAGGACAAGAGAAGAAGAGAGACAGUGUUCUCAGUGGAGGGACCUUCUUGUGCAGAGGGCGUGAGCUGGAACCAGACCAGCAGUUCCAAGGAACGGAGAAGCUGCCGUGCAGGGCUGGAGUGUGAUGAGCAAGGCAGGAACAGCACAUCAUCCGGUGAGAGAAGCAGACAGCGGCCAGGCCACACAGAGCCCUGCAGGGCACGCUGGCAGAGUUGCUUGAAAUGAAGCCGUUCCCUGAAAAGCACACAUGAAUUUCCCCUGCGGAAAAUUCAAACAGACACACUUGAGGAUUUCCACUAAAUUCUCUCUGGCCCCCAGAGCACUGGGGAAGCAUGUGAGACCUGUGCCAUCCCGGAACUGUGGCGACAAUGGUAGUUAACGUCCAUCAUCUGCAGGCACCUUCAGGAUGUGGAGCAUGCAGAGAUGACUCACGCCCACACCGGUGACCUCCAACACACCAGGGAAGGCAGGAAAAGGCUGUGUGCCAGGAUCUUGUUCUGGGCUAGAAAAGUAUGCCUGUUCGUUACCCGACCUUUGCUAAGUACACCAACUAAUGGAGCGAGAGACAUGAAAGAUCUUCACAGGCCAUGUGGAAAUGUAAUUCAAACCCAGCCCGAGGAGGUCAUAGUACGCCUGAUGCAGACAAACGAGGUAAACUUGGAAGCCAUAAGGUUGAAGACGGCGGAGCUAAAACAAGAAAGGAGGCUGGAUCCCUGAGUCACCUUGUGGAAGGCUGCCUGCCUACCAGGAAUGCUACAUUUAACAUGGGGUAUGACUUAUGUGGGUCCUCUCCUUGGGUCUCACAAGGCUGACAUGUGAGUGAGAAACAGAUUUUUAUUGUGUUAAGACAUUGAAGGUAUGGGAUAUGUUUCUUACAUCAGUUGAUAUCGCCUUAACCAAUAUACCAGUUUGCACUGUGAAUGAGAAAAUGAGUCUGCAUCCACAAUGUCCAUGCUUUAAGAGCUUCUAGGAGUUUUAGGAGUUUAUUUGCCAUGCUCUAUAAAGUCUGCACAAUGUUUUAAUUCCACUUCACAGAAAGGUUUUCUUUCCAAACCCUCUUCAGGGGCCUUCCCUAUUAAAAAAGCCCAUUUAUAGAAACUACUACUUAGCAUUUUUGGAACUUGUUAUCCUAUUCAGCAGAGUCUAAGUCAGGAGGCUUUGAACUCGGACAAUUACUGCUCUUGAUUAACAACAAGAACUGAUGAGUUGGCCUUUCUAGUGUGCUAAGCAAACUCAGCCAAGCAGAAAAUAUCACUGAAGGGGAAACAACGGGAAGUGAUUUUCUUGGUUGCAUUAUGCGCCGUCGCGAUAUUUACACAUGUUUGUGGAUAAUGUGGGAACCUCUGCUGCUUGCAUGCCCUUCCAGAUGACACCACUGGGCUUGAAACGCCAUGUUUCCCACCUGACCUGGGCUGUAAAUGUCAUCCUGUGACUGCAGGCAGCCAGCCCCAGGGAAAAACCACAGCACUGGGAGUGGUCAGGCCCCUUGCAGGAUCCCCACUCCAACCCUUUCAAGUUCUAGCCCCUCCAGGUACCCUGGGGCCAGCACCUAGGCCUAGAGAUUUGUUUGUUUGUUUGUUUUUUAGAGAUAGGGUCUUGCUAUGUUGCCCUGGCUGAUCUGAAACUCUGGGCCUCAAGCAGUCCACUCACCUUAGCCUCCUGAGUAGCUGGGAUCACAGGCAUGAACCACCCAACCCAGCUGGGGUUAGAGAGUAACAGCAGCCUUGGCCUCAUAUUGUAAGACAGCUCAGUGGCCGGAUAGAUGGGUGUUCAUUUCUUCUCGCCCUCGCCAGCACUAGGUGUUUUUAAAAAAUGAUUUUUGUGAAGUCAAAUAGUGUUUUCAGUGUCGGAUUGAACAUUGUGCUCAUUUAUGAGUGUUCUGUGGAUACCUUUACCCAUGUCUCUAUUGAGGGUGGUAGGAUUUUUCAUAAAAUUGCAUGCACAUUUUUCAUGUAUUAAAGGCAUUAUGCCUUUUCACAUUCUUUAGAUUUUUCCAACUUCUUUAUCUUUGUAUUUUGUUAAAUGUUUUUGGAUACAUAAAACUAAAAAAAGAAAAUCAUAAGAUUAAAUAUUUCAAUCUUGUCCUUUGAGACUUUUCCAUCUUUUUAAGCUUAUAAAGUCAUAUUUCAUAUGGAAGUUUGAAAUAUAUUCAUCUAUAACCCCAUUCAUUCUAUUUAAAACUUUUUAAAGAAACUCUUGGCUCCACUAGGAAUUUUUUUGGAUGGAAGGUAUGAGGUAAGGAUCUUCCUGGGGGCCACAUUUGGGAGUUCAGAUCUGAGGGGCAGAAGCCUCUGGCUUUGGACAAACAGGGGCAGGUGUCACUGGGGUUAGGGGUGGCAUAGCACGGGCAGAGGUAGUGUUGAUGGGUGAAGAGCAGGUCCCAGCUGGGACUGCUCUCAGGAUCUGGGGGUCUCCUUCUUCUCAAAUGGUGUCAUGGACUAAAUUGUGUCACCCCCACAUUUAUAUGUUGAAGUCCUAACCCUCAGUACCUUAGAAUGUGACUGUAUUUGGAGACUGGGUCUUUGAGAGGUAAUGAAGUUAAAAUGAGGUCUUUAGGGUGGGCCCUAAUCCAGGGUGACUGAUGCCUGUGUAAGAAGAGAUUAGGACACAGACGCAUCCAGAGGGAAGGAGGUGUGAAGACACAGAGAGAAGGCUGAGAAGUAACCAACCCUGCCUGACACCUUCAUCUUGGACUUCCAGCCCCAGAAUUUCGAGAAAAUAAAU